GAUGUGAAGAGGUGAAAGGCAGACUUCCGGGAAGAUGGCAGAGCAGUAACCAGCAACAAGUCACCCUCUCCAAGAUUCAGAAUCCAGACACUGGAAAAUAAUGACAUGGGGAAGAAAGGAAGGAGAGAGGUGGAUCCCCAGGACCCGGGAAGGAUCUGCUUCUAAAAUUACAUCCUAAAGUGCUACAUCUUGGAAGACAGCGGAGGGAUUGCUCUAUUCCAGUGUCUGGACACCAAAUCUCAGAGAGGCUGUUUCUCUGCUGCUCCCCACGCCAUCAUCUUCCCAGAAGCUGCUACAGUCACUGGAGCCGGCACAUGUGACUUCCGGAUCUUCCCUAAAGUCAAAAUGAUGAAGACAGAUAAACCGUUUGAAUCCAUUAAAGAUAUCAAGCAGUCAUGACAGUGCAACUAAAGACACAACAGAGGUCUU